UACGAAGGGGGCUAGCGUUGCUCGGAAUCACUGGGCGUAAAGCGCACGUAGGCGGAUCUUUAAGUCAGGGGUGAAAUCCUGGAGCUCAACUCCAGAACUGCCUUUGAUACUGGGGAUCUCGAGUCCGGAAGAGGUGAGUGGGACUCCGAGUGUAGAGGUGAAAUUCGUAGAUAUUCGGAAGAACACCAGUGGCGAAGGCGGCUCACUGGUCCGGUACUGACGCUGAGGUGCGAAAGCGUGGGGAGCAAACAGG
rnacentral:rRNA from 1 species